UGGUUGUCGUCAGCUCGUGUCGUGAGAUGUUGGGUUAAGUCCCGCAACGAGCGCAACCCUCGACCUUAGUUGCCAGCAUUCAGUUGGGGCACUCUAAGGUGACUGCCGGCUAAAAGUCGGAGGAAGGUGGGGAUGACGUCAAAUCAUCAUGCCCCUUAUGACCUGGGCUACACACGUGCUACAAUGGGCGGUACAAAGGGUCGCGAACCCGCGAGGGGGAGCCAAUCCCAAAAAGCCGCUCUCAGUUCGGAUUGCAGGCUGCAACUCGCCUGCAUGAAGCCGGAAUCGCUAGUAAUCGCGGAUCAGCAUGCCGCGGUGAAUACGUUCCCGGGCCUU
rnacentral:rRNA from 1 species